rnacentral:piRNA from 1 species
UCUAUAGUAGAUCAGGCUGGCUUUGAACUC